GUCUAGGGCCAUGCCACCCUGAAGAAGCCCGAUCCUGUCUGAUCUCGGAAGCUAAGCAAAGUUUGUUAGUACUUGGAUGGGAGACCACCUAGGAAGACCAGGUGCUGUAGGCG
rnacentral:rRNA from 1 species